GGCUCAGGACGAACGCCGGCGGCAUGCCUAAUACAUGCAAGUCGAACGCUGAAGCACUCUGCUUGCAGAGUGCGGAUGAGUGGCGAACGGGUGAGUAACACGUGGGAAAUCUGCCCAGGAGUGGGGGAUAACAUUCGGAAACGGAUGCUAAUACCGCAUAUCUUUUUGAACCGCAUGGUUCUUAAACGAAAGACGGCUUCGGCUGUCGCUCUUAGAUGAUCCCGCGGCGUAUUAGUUAGUUGGUGGGGUAAAGGCCUACCAAGACCAUGAUACGUAGCCGACCUGAGAGGGUGAUCGGCCACACUGGGACUGAGACACGGCCCAGACUCCUACGGGAGGCAGCAGUAGGGAAUCUUCCACAAUGGGUGAAAACCUGAUGGAGCAAUGCCGCGUGAAUGAAGAAGGUCUUCGGAUCGUAAAGUUCUGUUAUUAGAGAAGAACAAGUCAAGGAGUAACUGUCUUGACUUUGACGGUACCUAACCAGAAAGUCACGGCUAACUACGUGCCAGCAGCCGCGGUAAUACGUAGGUGACAAGCGUUGUCCGGAAUUAUUGGGCGUAAAGGGAGCGCAGGCGGUUGGAAUAGUCCGAUGUGAAAGCCCCCGGCUUUAACCGUGGAAGGUCAUUGGAAACUGUCCAACUUGAAUACAGAAGAGGUAAGUGGAAUUCCAAGUGUAGCGGUGAAAUGCGUAGAUAUUUGGAGGAACACCAGUGGCGAAGGCGACUUACUGGUCUGUAAUUGACGCUGAGGCUCGAAAGCGUGGGUAGCAAACAGGAUUAGAUACCCUGGUAGUCCACGCCGUAAACGAUGAGUGCUAAAGUGUUAGGGGGUGUCCGCCCCCCAGUGCUGGAGUUAAAGCAUUAAGCACUCCGCCUGGGGAGUACGGCCGCAAGGCUGAAACUCAAAGGAAUUGACGGGGACCCGCACAAGCGGUGGAACAUGCGGUUUAAUUCGAUGAUACGCGAGGAACCUUACCUGGGCUCGAACGCAUUCGGAAGCGCACGGAAACGUGCGCGCCAGCGAUGGCCGUUUGCGAGGUGCUGCAUGGUUGUCGUCAGCUCGUGCCGUGAGGUGUCGGGUUAAGUCCCACAACGAGCGCAACCCCUACUGCUAGUUGCCAGCGCGUAAUGGCGGGGACUCUAGCGGAACUGCCGGCGUAAGCCGUGAGGAAGGUGGGGAGGACGUCAAAUCAGCACGGCCCUUAUGUCCAGGGCUACACACGUGUUACAAUGGCCGGUACAGAGGGCAGCCACCCCGCGAGGGGGCGGGAAUCCCCAAAGCCGGUCUCAGUUCGGAUCGGAGUCUGCAACCCGACUCCGUGAAGCUGGAUUCGCUAGUAAUCGCGCAUCAGC
rnacentral:rRNA from 1 species